GGGGGGAGGUCGGAUCCUUGGCUGUGUCCCUGGCACCCAGUGCUCCCCGACCUGCGCUGUUGUAUUCUCGCUCCCGGCCGCACAGCCGCCU
rnacentral:pre_miRNA from 1 species